CUAGCUGAAGAGUCCCAAAUAGGACGAAACGAGCUUCCACUGCUAG
rnacentral:hammerhead_ribozyme from 1 species